UCCAAAUCUGCAAUUAAUCUCC
rnacentral:siRNA from 1 species